ACUAGAGUUUUCCUACUUGGUAGAUGGAAUGAAUACAUUAGACACUUCAACAUAACUAUGUUCUUUUUCAUCAGUUUUGCCAAUUUCUGUUAAGUCAGAUAUUGUAUCCUUACUAACAAAUUCACUAUCUUCAGUUCCAACAACUACUUCAUAAGUGUUUGAUACUUCAGAUGAUACUUGGUAAAGAGUCCCAGAUUUAGGGUCAAGGUACUGAAAAGGAGU
rnacentral:lncRNA from 1 species